rnacentral:rRNA from 1 species
UACGUAGGGUGCAAGCGUUGUCCGGAAUUAUUGGGCGUAAAGAGCUCGUAGGCGGUUUGGUAAGUCGGGUGUGAAAUCUCCACGCUCAACGUGGAGGGGCCACUCGAUACUGCCAUGACUCGAGUCCGGUAGAGGAGUGUGGAAUUCCCGGUGUAGCGGUGAAAUGCGCAGAUAUCGGGAGGAACACCCGUAGCGAGGGCGGCACUCUGGGCCGGAACUGACGCUGAGGAGCGAAAGCGUGGGGAGCAAACAGG